rnacentral:rRNA from 1 species
CAGUCGUACCUGCGGACAAUCAGCUUUUUGAGUGUGAUUAUGUGGAUUGUGAGGAGUUUAAUCACCCUCAUGUUUUACGUAUUCGUGCUCUUGGGUGUACUUGCCCGUGUGGUAGGUUAACAUCAAUUUUGGUCGUCAUAAAAUGACUGGAGGAAUGUAGCUUUGGUCUCGUAUUGAAGUGUUAUAGCCUUCGGUAGAUGUGAUGACUGAGAUUGAGGAUUGCAACGGAUACCCUUCGGGGCUACCUGUCUGAUCUCUGAUCGUUGCUCUGGU